UCCCUGGUAGUAUAUCGGUUAGUACACGCGCCUGUCACUAGGGGCCGGUCGCACCUCUUACGCGCGAAAGCUGGGUUCGACUCCCAGCCAGGGAG